rnacentral:sRNA from 1 species
GGAGGAACCAUUAUGAACGAAGUUCAUAAUUGUGCAUGGUUCCGACCGAUAAGCCGCCGAACGAAUGUGAGGGGGCGAUUCAUAU